rnacentral:tRNA from 1 species
GCGUCGGUGGUUCAGUGGUAGAAUACUCGCCUGCCACGCGGGUGACCCGGGUUCGAUUCCCGGCUGACGCA